rnacentral:rRNA from 1 species
GUGGGUAACCUGCCUUAUAGAGGGGGAUAGCCUUCCGAAAGGAAGAUUAAUACCGCAUAACAUUGUUUCUUUGCAUGAAGAGACAAUCAAAGGAGCAAUCCGCUAUAAGAUGGACCCGCGGCGCAUUAGCUAGUUGGUGAGGUAACGGCUCACCAAGGCAACGAUGCGUAGCCGGCCUGAGAGGGUGAACGGCCACAUUGGAACUGAGACACGGUCCAGACUCCUACGGGAGGCGGCAGUGGGGAAUAUUGCACAAUGGGCGAAAGCCUGAUGCAGCAACGCCGCGUGAGUGAUGAAGGCCUUCGGGUUGUAAAGCUCUGUCUUCUGGGACGAUAAUGACGGUACCAGAGGAGGAAGCCACGGCUAACUACGUGCCAGCAGCCGCGGUAAUACGUAGGUGGCAAGCGUUGUCCGGAUUUACUGGGCGUAAAGGAUGCGUAGGCGGAUA